rnacentral:rRNA from 1 species
UCCCUACGGGAGGCAGCAGUGGGGGAUAUUGCACAAUGGGGGGAACCCUGAUGCAGCGACGCCGCGUGGGUGAAGAAGCGCCUCGGCGCGUAAAGCCCUGUCAGCAGGGAAGAAAAUGACGGUACCUGAAGAAGAAGCCCCGGCUAACUACGUGCCAGCAGCCGCGGUAAUACGUAGGGGGCAAGCGUUAUCCGGAUUUACUGGGUGUAAAGGGAGCGUAGACGGCAGUGCAAGUCCGGAGUAAAAGCCCGGGGCUCAACCCUGGGACUGCUCUUGGAACUGCGUGGCUGGAGUGCAGGAGGGGG